UACGAAGGGGGCUAGCGUUGUUCGGAAUUACUGGGCGUAAAGCGCACGUAGGCGGAUAUUUAAGUCAGGGGUGAAAUCCCGGGGCUCAACCCCGGAACUGCCUUUGAUACUGGGUAUCUAGAGUCCGGAAGAGGUGAGUGGAAUUCCGAGUGUAGAGGUGAAAUUCGUAGAUAUUCGGAGGAACACCAGUGGCGAAGGCGGCUCACUGGUCCGGUACUGACGCUGAGACGCGAAAGCGUGGGGAGCGAACCGG
rnacentral:rRNA from 1 species